UGCUGGAGCGAAUAGAAGUGAGCAUGCAGGCAUGAGUAGCGAUAAUUAAUGUGAGAAUCAUUAACGCCGUAAACCCAAGGUUUCCUACGCGAUGCUCGUCAUCGUAGGGUUAGUCGGGUCCUAAGUCGAGUCCGAAAGGGGUAGACGAUGGCAAAUUGGUUAAUAUUCCAAUACCAACAUUAGUGUGCGAUGGAAGGACGCUUAGGGCUAAGGGGGCUAGCGGAUGGAAGUGCUAGUCUAAGGUCGUAGGAGGUUAUACAGGCAAAUCCGUAUAACAAUACUCCGAGAACUGAAAGGCUUUUUGAAGUCUUCGGAUGGAUAGAAGAACCCCUGAUGCCGUCGAGCCAAGAAAAGUUUCUAAGUUUAGCUAAUGUUGCCCGUACCGUAAACCGACACAGGUGGGUGGGAUGAGUAUUCUAAGGCGCGUGGAAGAACUCUCUUUAAGGAACUCUGCAAAAUAGCACCGUAUCUUCGGUAUAAGGUGUGGUUCGCUUCGUAUUAGGAUUUACUCCGAAAGCGAAGAAACUUACAACAAAGAGUCCCUCCCGACUGUUUACCAAAAACACAGCACUCUGCUAACUCGUAAGAGGAUGUAUAGGGUGUGACGCCUGCCCGGUGCUCGAAGGUUAAUUGAUGGGGUUAGCAUUAGCGAAGCUCUUGAUCGAAGCCCGAGUAAACGGCGGCCGUAACUAUAACGGUCCUAAGGUAGCGAAAUUCCUUGUCGGUUAAAUACCGACCUGCAUGAAUGGCGUAACGAGAUGGGAGCUGUCUCAAAGAGGGAUCCAGUGAAAUUGUAGUGGAGGUGAAAAUUCCUCCUACCCGCGGCAAGACGGAAAGACCCCGUGGACCUUUACUACAGCUUGACACUGCUACUUGGAUAAGAAUGUGCAGGAUAGGUGGGAGGCUUUGAGUAUAUGACGCCAGUUGUAUAUGAGCCAUUGUUGAGAUACCACUCUUUCUUAUUUGGGUAGCUAACCAGCUUGAGUUAUCCUCAAGUGGGACAAUGUCUGGUGGGUAGUUUGACUGGGGCGGUCGCCUCCCAAAUAAUAACGGAGGCUUACAAAGGUUGGCUCAGAACGGUUGGAAAUCGUUCGUAGAGUAUAAAGGUAUAAGCCAGCUUAACUGCAAGACAUACAAGUCAAGCAGAGACGAAAGUCGGUCUUAGUGAUCCGGUGGUUCUGUGUGGAAGGGCCAUCGCUCAAAGGAUAAAAGGUACCCCGGGGAUAACAGGCUGAUCUCCCCCAAGAGCUCACAUCGACGGGGAGGUUUGGCACCUCGAUGUCGGCUCAUCGCAUCCUGGGGCUGGAGCAGGUCCCAAGGGUAUGGCUGUUCGCCAUUUAAAGCGGUACGCGAGCUGGGUUCAGAACGUCGUGAGACAGUUCGGUCCCUAUCUGCCGUGGGCGUAAGAAGAUUGAAGAGAUUUGACCCUAGUACGAGAGGACCGGGUUGAACAAACCACUGGUGUAGCUGUUGUUCUGCCAAGAGCAUCGCAGCGUAGCUAAGUUUGGAAAGGAUAAACGCUGAAAGCAUCUAAGCGUGAAGCCAACUCUAAGAUGAAUCUUCUCUAAGCUCUCUAGAAGACUACUAGUUUGAUAGGCUGGGUGUGUAAUGGAUGAAAGUCCUUUAGCUGACCAGUACUAAUAGAGCGUUUGGCUUAUCUUUAAUAAAGCAU
rnacentral:rRNA from 1 species